AUGACCUCAUUUCCAGCUGCGACAACGAGGGCCGUGCGCACGCCGCCGCCGGGCGCCGCAGGCCCGCGGGGACCCCCCGCCCAGCGCCCCCCCCCCGCCCCCGGCGCCCCCGGAGCUGCGGCCCGGCCGCCCGGGGUCCCGUCCGCGGGGGUCGGGGUCGGGGCCGCAGUAGGCCCGAGGCCUCCCCCGCCGAGCGCUCGGCCGCGCCGCGCCGCCCCGCGGGGCCCGGAGGCUCCAGGAGGCCCACCCCGCGCCGCGGCCCCCGACCCCGCGGGGCCCGACCCCCGGCGCCCUCCGGGGACCCCCCGGACCGCCCCCUCACCUCGGCUACAGGACCGCACGGGCUCCGCGACGACGCAGCACCAGGACGCAGAAGCAACUGGCGCGCCGCCCCCGCGCUUCCCUUAUAUAGACGCGGGCCCGCCCGGCGCGCGGAGCCUUUUCCAGAAGCCUCCCGAACCUUCCGGAAGAACCCUCCCCAACCGCCGCCGCGGCCGCGCGCCUGCGCCUGCGCCCUGGCCGCGGCCCCGCCCCUCUCCCGGCCGCGCGCGGGCUCGCCCCGAGCGCCCCACCCCCGACGCCGCCCCGCGCGUCCCCGCGCCGGCCUCAGUGCGCAGGCGCAGCCCGGAACUCUCGCGAAGGUCUCGCGCCUUCCGGGGCCGCCGUCUGCAGCGCGGCUCGCGCCGGGGCCCUGCCCCCACCCCGGCCCUGCGCCGCCAGCGAGGCGCGCGGGCGCUCUGGAGCCUCCCAGGCCCGCCCUCGCUGCUUCCGCCGCGGGAGCGCGGUGCUCCCAGACCGUGUCCCCCACUAGUGUGCACGCUUCGGGGCCCCGCGCGCACGGCCGCCCCAGCACAGUCGGGGGCUGCCCCGGGGAGGGGCAGCGCUGGGAGGGCGGAUCCAGGGGCACAGUCGGGGGCUGCACCCGGGGCAGGUGCGGGGCUGGGAGGGCGGAUCCAGGGGCAGAGUCGGGGUCUGCCCCGGGGCAGGUGCGGGGCUGGGAGAGCGGAUCCAGGGGUCACCGUCGGGGUUUGCACCCGGGGCCCCGGGGCAGGGGCAGCGCUGGGAGGGCAGAUCCAGGGGCUCGAGGAGCCGAGCGGGGUCGCCUGGCAUCUGAACGCCCGGGCGGCGAUCAGAGAGGCUCGGCGCUGCGACUGGGGGCUCAGGUGUAGGGCGCUCCAUCUCUCUGGCCGGGGCAGCGAUUCUGGGUUCAGGGCCCUGGAAGUGGGGCAACAGGUGCCUACAAGAGCCUCGUGA
rnacentral:lncRNA from 1 species